AGCCAAGUGGUCUGUAAAUUAAUCUCAUAUUGCUGUUCUCGAUGGGCAGGACGACGGCUAUAGGUUGAUAUGGGGAAAGAUGAGGGCGGCGACGCGGGCUAGGUGAAGAGCGGCAGUGCACUGUGAGGAGGGCAAAUGCGGCGGCGCGCUGCUAGGUCGGCGGCACGAGCUGGGUGGAGGGCCGAGGGCGGCUGCGGCGCGCUGGAGGAGGGCGAGGGCGGCGGCGCCGCGGGCUGGAUGUAGGGCGGCGGAGGAGGCACGCGCUGGGGCGAGGGCGAGGGCCAGGGAGGCGACGCCACGGGCGGGUCGAGGGCGGCGGGCCAGUGGCGCUGGGAUAGGCGGCGUGUCCUCUGUGAAACUAGGGAGCAGAGAGGGCUCAGGAGGGAGGGAGACGACCAGUUUUUUUAUUUUUAGUAAUGUA
rnacentral:lncRNA from 1 species